CACCGUCACUGAGGUGGAAGCUGGAAUAAACAGCAGACACCUUACAUCUUGGUCUUUUCAGGGGGUGCGGCCACUGCUCUGGGACCUUCUGGAAGAUGAAUUUUCAUCAUGGUCCCCGUGGGUCACCAGACACACUGUGGCUGGGAGCUCUAUUCUGGCUGGCUAUGUAAAAACAAAGAAGUAGCACAUUUAUAAAUGUUUAAAAGAGCAUAAAAUCACGUGUAACAAUAAUCUGUAAAACAAAUUAAAACUAGAAGGUCAUAAUAAAAUGUUUACAUAGAAGAUUAUUAAAAAUAAUUCACCUUUGCUACGCCGGUAAAGCUUCACGUCAGCCUGGACAAGUGCAUUCUUGCAGCUAAAUCAGUCUGACAGCCAGUGUCUUGGGUAGAUUUAGCCUGAAAAAAAAUAGAAGCACAUUGUUGUUGGGAGUUUAUAAAGUCAGAUAAUAUACAAAAGAAUCUCCUAUAUAGGCGCUUUAUAACAUUCCUAGUGUGUGAUCGUUGUUAUAAUGUAAAAGUCAGUCACAUAUGAUGUGGAGAGCCUGAAAUGCGACCUCCUGAACAGAAUUCCUCACAGAACUGGGUCACAGGCUGGAUUUCACGCUGUAAUGCUGUCUGUCAAGUGCUGCGUCAGUUAGAGACACUGUUGCAGAAUUGCCGACUGACUAGCUAAAGGAAGUGAACCACGUCUCUCAGACUUUGCAUUUAGGUAGGGAAUUGUCUUUAGAAGAUGUUAAAACGUUUAUUUAGCUGACUCACCUCAGACUGGAGCCCGCCGUGGUGGGGGAGCAGAGUCGGUGGGCUGCAUCUAAAUCGCGGAAGAGCCACGGUGGGCACAGCCUCCCUCUUCAAACGGAGAUGUGCAGAAUCGCGGGUAAAAUGCCCACAGAGUCACCGCAACCAUACUACACUACACCUACUCACCAAUACUAAGAUGAUAUGGAGCACUAAACCCGAACUACUUUCCCAAUUACACUAACAGCCAAACACUAACUAAACUACACUAUCCAACAGCCAAGCUAACACUAAAUAAGUAUGUAUAACACUAAAAGCUAUGCUAAAGACUAGGAUAUGCUAAUGCUAUAUGCUAAUGCUGAACUACCGCUGACCUCCUACACUCGCUUGCAAAUCCAACUCCCAACUCGCCACAGGGCGUGGCCGAGACGCUCGUUGCUUUUAUAACUUUGGCACGGAGCUGCUACGUAGUACUCUACUGGUUUACGUAGUACUUUACUCUUUAGCCAUUGGCUAAAAUUUGACUCAAAUUCUAUGUUUUCAGCUGAAGGUGGCGCAUUACUGUGGUUUUUAGACAGAAUUUUUAGUUUUUAAAGAAAAUGCACCAAAAUGCUAAAAUAAAGAAUGCACACAUUUAAAACACUAUUAGACACUCAUUUAUACAGUUCAUCAGCAAAAAAAGUUAAUUUAGACGUUACUUGCUCUUUAAAUGGAGUCCCAAAUGAACAAGUAUAUGAAACUAAAUUCCUAGGUGUGAUUAUUGAUAGUAAACUCAGUUGGAAACCACAUAUCGAAUAUAUCAAACGGCAAGUGUCUAAAUCUAUUGCUAUACUUUAUAAAACUAGUGAUGCACUAAAUAAAAAGGCCUUGUUUUUGAUUUAUAGAUCUUUAGUUAUGCCUUAUUUGUCUUACUGUGCAGAGAUUAGGGGAAAUGCAGGUAAAACGUGUGUUGAGACUAUAUUUAAAUUACAAAAAAAGGCGAUUAGAAUAGUUAAUAAAUUGGGAUACCUCGAACCAACCCAUAAUCUAUUUAGUCAAACUAAAACGCUAAAAUUAGGAGAUAUUUUUAAAGUAAAAAUCUUAGCGAUUCUUCAUAAAGUAGUUAAUAAUAAUAUCCCAAAUUGCAUAAAAGUUUAUUUCAAACCAAGAGAUGAUCAUUAUAAUCUCAGAGGUGUAUUUAUGUUUGAAUGUGUAAAAGCCAGAACUAAUGUGAAAUCAAGAUGUGUCUCUGUUGUUGGUGUGAAAUUGUGGAAUGAGUUAGAUGAUGAUUUGAAGAAAUGUACUUCUUUACUAAAGUUUAAAGCAGGUGUAAAGUGUCACAUAUUUACAGGGUAUGAAAAGUAUGUAUAGACAUCAAUGAAUUUUCAUUGUGGUUAUUUAUAUUGGGGAAAAUAAAAGAAAUGUAUGUUGGUUAUGUAUCUUAGGUGGAAAAUAGGGUAGGCUAAAAUAAGCAUUGCUUCUGCCUAUUCCUUUUUUUGGUUUAAAUUCAAGUUGUUAAUAUUGUUGUUUUGUUUGAAAAGAAAAAUUUUAUGUUAAUGCUAUAAACCAAAAUAAAGACCGAAAGAAAGAAAAGAAAGAAAGAAAUACCAAUGCCACCUCAACUGGCUCCUCUCGAUGUGGAGAAGGGGGGGGGGUUUAUUCUGAGCCCCUCCCGCAUGAGCAUGCUUCUCACCCAAGCCCCCACAAUGCCGCUCUAAAAAUGGUCCCAUCCCGGAAGUAAGAAAAAUUGCAGUUCCACCCUCAUCCGCUGGGGGCUGGUGCCAGAAGCGAGCAAAUCCUCAUUGACUCCCAUGUUAAAAAUGCCGAUUUCACAGCAGAAAUAAACAUGUUUACAGCCUGGUACCAAAACAUGUUUUUUGUCUAAAUUAUCUAGUUUAUACUCAUGACAACUCUGAGGGGGGUGAAUUUUUUUCUCACUCUUCUGUUUAAGUGUAUUGAAAGCCUCAAAUUCUGUAUAAUUAAUGAGCAUCCGACACACGUGACCGCCGCCUCAGACCCACGUGACCACAGAGCUAGCUCCGUGGAAAGGCCUCAGUACAGCCUCGGUCUGGCUUGGAAACUGCUCCGGCAUUUUGAGUCUCUGUGUUUGUGUAUUCUUCUUUGGAUAUUAUUGGUGCAAUUGUUGGACAAAAUGACUUGCAGUGGUAUUAAUUGCACUAAUAGAGCGUCCAAGGAGUCUCCACUUCAUUUUUUUCGGGAAGGACCUGAUUGGUGUCCAGAACCUGUUGAAGAAGCACCAGGCUCUGCAGGCUGAGAUCACAGGUCAUGAACCUCGCAUCAAGGCUGUCACCCAGAAAGGAGAGACCAUGGUGGAAGAAGGUCACUUCGCUGGUGAGGAAGUGAAGACUAAACUGUGGGAGCUUCAUGGACGUUGGGACACGCUGAAGGCCAAGGCGUCCCAGAGGAGGCAGGACCUGGAGGACUCUCUGCAGGCCCAGCAGUACUUUGCGGAUGCUAAUGAGGCCGAGUCCUGGAUGAGGGAGAAGGAGCCCAUCGUUGGAAGUCCAGACUAAGGGAAAGACGAGGACUUGGCCGAGGUAUGGAAGUCCCUUCCUGAGAAACUCCAAUCGCUUUUCUUUGCUCUCUUUCCAGUCCUUCAUAAUUAGUGUUUCUGUAUUUGUCAUUUCCUUCGGUUGUCUACCAGACGUCGUUGCUCGUUUGAGCGUCUCAUGGGUUAGGGGUAGAAGUGCUGGCCUCGCACAGGAAGUGAUGACAAACGUGUUCCCGUCGCUCUUAUUUCAAACGGUUUACAAGCUGUGAUGUGUGUUCCCGCUGCAGAGCAGCCAUGACACGUGGCAGCCGGCAGAAGGCUCACGCUUUUCCACUAAACACCCGCAGAGCUGCGUCUGCGGUGAACUGAGCAGGGUUUGUUUUACGGUGGCGGAUCCGAUUGGACCAUCGCUGCGAGAAAGCUCCACUUGUGUCAGACGAGCUGAAGGUUCUGAUGUUCUGCUCCACAGGCUCUCCUGAAGAAGCACGAGGCCCUGAUGUCGGACCUGUCGGCUUACGGCAGCAGCAUCCAGGCCCUGAAGGAGCAGGCCCAGUCCUGCAGGGUGAGUUCAGAACCCUCGGCCCGUCAGAACAUUCUUAUCCACCACGUUCUAACACCAGACCUGUUAACCCGAACGCAACAAGGUAAUCAGCAGGUGCUUUUGUCCUGCAGGACCUGAAGGCCAACGAGUCCCGCCUGAGGGACAUCAACAAGGUGGCAUCUGAACUGGAGUCAGAAGGUCUGAUGGCUGAGGAGGCUCCUAUGGUUCAGGCUCAGGUGAGCGUCACCUGUCUGCAGCAGCUGGUCCCUCUCACUUCCUGGUUUAACUCUGCUCGUCUCUGUUUGUAGCAACAAGAACAUCUGGGUUCUGCUCCUGGAAAGGAUGAAGCCGACUCUAACACGGCGUCACCCUGGAAGGUGAGUUCAUUCAGCUGAUCAGAGGUCACCUCUGAUGGCAGCAGUCACGGCCGACCGUGCUGACAUCACACAGGAAUUCAGGUGACCCGGCAGGCACCAGGUUUUGGUGAAAGUGGGGACAUGUCAGCUGGUUGCCAUGGCUACAGUUAUCUUUAUGCAUCUGUAUGACUGCUGACUGGUGUGUGUUUCCUGUGACCUUUGACCUCAGACCGUACGGUUGGGCGUUCAGACGACGGCUAACUUUAAUUCCAUCAAGGUAAGAGGAAGCUCUUCCCUUCCUGUCUGAGCGAUCCGUCUCCAGGUUUCUUCGUCCGGCGUCCAGCCCGCUGGCGUCCACCUUCAUCUCACCUUCAUCUCAUCUCACUUCAUUUAUAGUGCAAUACUUUCACAUUAUCAUUUUCCCACACUUCUGUAUACCUGUAUUUUAUUG